CCGCGAACAAAUUUGGCUAGUUUCAAGCCGAGAGCUCAUUCGCUCAAGCAGCUUUUACUUUCUUUCGCGUUAUCAGUAAUCAUUCUACUUUCUACAGCGUUUUUUUUUCAUUUAGGAAGGACGGUAAAAAAAACUUACCGUCUACAUAAUCCUAUCGAAAAUCUAUGUAUCUACAAUAAUGUUGAGUUAGAAGAAUAAGCCACGCUCACGCCGAGAGAGCCUUCGAGGAGCCGACGAUGUCUAAUAUAUUUAGUUUACAAUAGUAAGCAAACUAGCAAAGAAGAAGAAAAAAAAAUA
rnacentral:lncRNA from 7 species